AAACUUUCAACAACGGAUCUCUUGGUUCUGGCAUCAAUGAAAAACGCAGCGAAAUGCGAUAAGAAAUGUGAAUUGCAAAAUUCAGGGAAUCUUCGAAUCUUUGAACGCACUUUGGGCCUGGCAGUUUUCUGCCGGGCAUGCCUGCC
rnacentral:rRNA from 1 species